UGACGGUACCUGACUAAGAAGCCCCGGCUAACUACGUGCCAGCAGCCGCGGUAAUACGUAGGGGGCAAGCGUUAUCCGGAUUUACUGGGUGUAAAGGGAGCGUAGACGGAAGUGCAAGUCUGAUGUGAAAGGCAUGGGCUCAACCCGUGGACUGCAUUGGAAACUGUAUUUCUUGAGUGCCGGAGGGGUAAGCGGAAUUCCUGGUGUAGCGGUGAAAUGCGUAGAUAUCAGGAGGAACACCGGUGGCGAAGGCGGCUUACUGGACGGCAACUGACGUUGAGGCUCGAAGGCGUGGGGAGCAAACAGGAUUAGAUACCCUG
rnacentral:rRNA from 1 species